rnacentral:rRNA from 1 species
GGGUUGUGAGGUUAAGCGACUAAGCGUACACGGUGGAUGCCCUGGCAGUCAGAGGCGAUGAAGGGCGUGCUAAUCUGCGAUAAGCGCCGGUAAGGUGAUAUGAACCGUUAUAACCGGCGAUACCCGAAUGGGGAAACCCAGUGUGACUCGUCACACUAUCAUUAACUGAAUCCAUAGGUUAAUGAGGCGAACCGGGGGAACUGAAACAUCUAAGUACCCCGAGGAAAAGAAAUCAACCGAGAUUCCCCCAG